rnacentral:rRNA from 1 species
AGGACAAACGCUGGCGGCGUACUUAAGACAUGCAAGUCGAACGGGCGCUUCACCUUCGGGUGGGUGUGCUAGUGGCGGACGGGUGAGUAACGCGUAGGAACCUGUCAUCAAGAGGGGGAUAACGCUGGGAAACCGGCGCUAAUACCGCAUGUGGUCAUGAAAAUGAAGAAAGCAGCAAUGCGCUUGAUGAGGGGCCUGCGUCCGAUUAGCUUGUUGGUGGGGUAAAGGCCUACCAAGGCAUCGAUCGGUAGCUGGUCUGAGGGGAUGGUCAGCCACACUGGGACUGAGACACGGCCCAGACUCCUACGGGAGGCAGCAGUUAGGAAAUUUUCCCAAUGGGCGCAAGCCUGAGGGAGUAACGCCGCGUGGAGGAUGACGGCUUUCGGGUUGUAAACUCCUUUCUGUGGGAAGAGUAGAAGGCGGUACCGCAGGAAUAAGCCUCGGCUAACUACGCGCCAGCAGCCGC